GUGUAACCCGAGAGGGGCAACCGAUGGAAAGUUGGUUAAUAUUCCAACACCUGCUUAUAUUGCGAUGGGGUGACGAAGUAGUGAAAGUACCGCGGGGUUACGGAAUAUCCCGUUAAAGCGUGUAGAUGUUGAUAGAGUAGGCAAAUCCGCUCUUGAAUCGAACGUGAUAGUGCUCAAGGUUUUCGAACUGAGAGAUAGUGUACCUAAUCAGACUUCCUAGAAAAACCUCUAAGCUUCAGGUAUAAGCAGCCCGUACCGUAAACCGACACAGGUAGACGAGGAGAGUAUCCUCAGGCGCUCGAGUGAGUCACGGCUAAGGAACUCGGCAAAAUGGACCCGUAACUUCGGGAGAAGGGUCGCCUCAGCAAUGAGGCCGCAGUGAAAAGUAUCAGGCGACUGUUUAACAAAAACACAGGGCUCUGCAAAAUCGAAAGAUGAAGUAUAGGGCCUGACACCUGCCCGGUGCUGGAAGGUUAAGGAAGGUUGUUAGCCGCAAGGCAAAGCUUCCGACUGAAGCCCCAGUAAACGGCGGCCGUAACAAUAACGGUCCUAAGGUAGCGAAAUUCCUUGUCGGGUAAGUUCCGACCUGCACGAAUGGUGUAACGAUCUGAUAACUGUCUCAGCCGUGAGCUCGGUGAAAUUGUAGUCCCGGUGAAGAUGCCGGGUACCCGUAACGGGACGGAAAGACCCCGUGAACCUUCACUACAACUUUGCAUUGACUUUGAGUAAACGAUGUGUAGCAUAGGUGGGAGACUUUGAAGCGGGCACGCUAGUGUUUGUGGAGUCAACGUUGAAAUACCACCCUUUGUUUACUUAGAGCCUAAUCCGCUAAGCGGAGAAAGUGCAUGGUGGGUAGUUUGACUGGGGUGGUCGCCUCCAAAAGAGUAACGGAGGCUUCCAAAGGUACCCUCAGCACGCUUGGUAACCGUGCGCAGAGUGUAUUAGCAUAAGGGUGCUUGACUGUGAGACCGACGGGUCGAGCAGGUACGAAAGUAGGGUAAAGUGAUCCGGUGGUUCUGCAUGGAAGGGCCAUCGCUCAAAGGAUAAAAGGUACUCCGGGGAUAACAGGCUGAUCUCCCCCAAGAGCUCAUAUCGACGGGGAGGUUUGGCACCUCGAUGUCGGCUCGUCACAUCCUGGGGCUGGAGAAGGUCCCAAGGGUUGAUCUGUUCGCUCAUUAAAGUGGCACGCGAGCUGGGUUCAGAACGUCGCAAGACAGUUCGGUCCCUAUCUGUUAUGGGCGUUUGAGAUUUGAGAAGAUCUGUUUCUAGUACGAGAGGACCGGAAUGGACUGACCUCUAGUGUACCGGUUAUGUCGCCAGAUGUACCGCCGGGUAGCUACGUUGGGAAGGGAUAAGCGCUGAAAGCAUCUAAGCACGAAACCCACUUCAAGAUGAGAUCUCAUAGGGUCGUCGAAGACUACGACGUUGAUAGGUCAUAGGUGUAAAGGUGGUAACAUC
rnacentral:rRNA from 1 species